rnacentral:lncRNA from 13 species
AGAGCAUUCAUCCCUUCCUCCUUGUAAGGACAAGGUGCUAUCUCAGAAGCAGAGCCUGGGCCCUGGCAGACACUGAAUCUGCUGGUGCAUUGAUCUUGGAUUUCUCAGCUUCCAGAACUAAACAAAUGAAAAAUGUGAUGUAUCACAGUUGAUAUAUCGGCAAAUGAAAGGCCUUUAAAAAUAAAUUUCCUCAAGUAGUAAACACGGUGUCAAGAACUACGUAAAUCAGCUGUGAUCGGUCCUGCAUUCCUCCCUGUCACUGGGACCUCACGUAAGUCUACUGCACUUCCGGAACUUGCCAGUUUUGUGACUAAUUUUACACACAAUAAAACUUCCUCGGGCUCUUCGUUUGACAGGGAUGACUGCACAGCACUGCUGGUAUCCAAUAGAUCAUUUCUGGCACGGAUAUUCACCUUUGCAGAUGUGGAAACAAGAAUUCUCAUAUGAAGCAUAAUAAGUGAGACUCAAGGCUCCAGAUUCUACAACAGAUGCUUCCCAUAUUUAUGCCUAAUGAAGACAUCGUAUUUGAGGAAACAUACAGAAAGAAGAGAAGUCUCUGGAACCUGAACAACAGGAUGGAAAGAAUCAAAGCUGUACUAAGCCUUCUAAACCAUGAAAACAUUCUGGAACCUUAAGUAGACGGUCUCCAAACACCUUCACAGUAGAAACUUCUGUCAACUUGCUGGGAGACUUGCAUACCUGCCAAAUCUUCUAUAACUACAGAAGGGCUUCCAUAGCAGCUAAGUUCAAGCAUUGCUGAAGUGUUUUAUUG